AUUGAACGCUGGCGGAAUGCUUUACACAUGCAAGUCGAGCGGCAGCGCGGGGGCAACCCUGGCGGCGAGCGGCGAACGGGUGAGUAAUACAUCGGAACGUGUCCUGGAGUGGGGGAUAGCUCGGCGAAAGCCGGAUUAAUACCGCAUAAGCUCUGAGGAGGAAAGCGGGGGCUCCGUAAGGACCUCGCGCUGUUGGAGCGGCCGAUGUCGGAUUAGCUAGUUGGGGGGUAAAGGCCCACCAAGGCGACGAUCCGUAGCUGGUCUGAGAGGAUGAUCAGCCACACUGGAACUGAGACACGGUCCAGACUCCUACGGGAGGCAGCAGUGGGGAAUUUUGGACAAUGGGGGCAACCCUGAUCCAGCCAUUCCGCGUGAGUGAAGAAGGCC
rnacentral:rRNA from 1 species